GACGAACGCUGGCGGCGUGCUUAACACAUGCAAGUCGAACGGGUCUGCCCUGUUUUUUGCGGGGUGGGUCAGUGGCGAACGGGUGAGUAACACGUGAGUAACCUGCCCCUCACUUCUGGAUAACCGCUUGAAAGGGUGGCUAAUACGGGGUGUUCUGGCUGUGCCGCAUGGUGUGGCUGGGAAAGAUUCACUUUUGUGGUGUUUUGGUGGGGGAUGGGCUCGCGGCCUAUCAGCUUGUUGGUGGGGUGAUGGCCUGCCAAGGCUUUGACGGGUAGCCGGCCUGGGAGGGUUGGCGGUCGUAACGGGAGUGGGCGACGUCGCGGACUACUGCGUGACGCAGCAGUUGGUGGUAUUGCACAAUGGGCGGAUGACUAAUGCAGCCGCGUCGCGUGUGCGAUGGAGGCCCGCGGGUUGUGAACCUCUUUCGCCGGUGAAGAAGGUCCUGCUCUUGGUGGUGGGGUUGACGGUAGCCGGGUUAUGAAGCGCCGGCUAACUACGUG
rnacentral:rRNA from 1 species